rnacentral:lncRNA from 1 species
AUUAAUUUAUUGAUUAUAAUUACUAGUUUUAAUAACUUUUCACUGUUAAGAUUGAAUUUACAGUUUGUAAUAUUUCAGGUAUGGCAAGAACGAAGAAUGGCAUGUUGGUAUCUACUGGAACUCUAGAUCAGCAGAAUGGAGAUACCUCAAGUAAGUUUUAAUUAUAAAACUGCAAUUUUGUAGGAAUGGGAAACAUAAGACGUGGUAAACGUGUCAGGCAUGAGCAUCAAAUUCAUCAAUCUGAUUCACAUUCAAAUGACUUAGAAAAUGAGACACGUGAUAUGGGUGGUAUGGUUUAAAAAUAUCAAUAAUAACAUUAACAAUUUUGGAAGAACUUGAUUUCCUUUUUAUUAAUCGAAAUUUGUAUUUAAUGUUUGCAGAAAAUUUUUGUGAUAAAAAAACUAGAGGACCUACUUAUAUGGCUCGUGUUUGGGUUAGGAGAAGUCGAAAAGAAGUUGAGUUCAAUGAGUUAGG